CGGAGGGAUCAUUACUGAGUUUACGCUCUAUAACCCUUUGUGAACAUACCUAUAACUGUUGCUUCGGCGGGUAGGGUCUCCGUGACCCUCCCGGCCUCCCGCCCCCGGGCGGGUCGGCGCCCGCCGGAGGAUAACCAAACUCUGAUUUAACGACGUUUCUUCUGAGUGGUACAAGCAAAUAAUCAAAACUUUUAACAACGGAUCUCUUGGUUCUGGCAUCGAUGAAGAACGCAGCGAAAUGCGAUAAGUAAUGUGAAUUGCAGAAUUCAGUGAAUCAUCGAAUCUUUGAACGCACAUUGCGCCCGCCAGCAUUCUGGCGGGCAUGCCUGUUCGAGCGUCAUUUCAACCCUCAAGCUCUGCUUGGUGUUGGGGCCCUACAGCUGAUGUAGGCCCUCAAAGGUAGUGGCGGACCCUCCCGGAGCCUCCUUUGCGUAGUAACUUUACGUCUCGCACUGGGAUCCGGAGGGACUCUUGCCGUAAAACCCCCCAAUUUUCCAAAGGUUGACCUCGGAUCAGGUAGGAAUACCCGCUGAACUUAAGCAUAUCAA
rnacentral:rRNA from 1 species